UUUAUUUUUUUCCACCCUUGAUGC
rnacentral:siRNA from 1 species